AACUCGGCAAAAUGACCCCGUAACUUAGGGAUAAGGGGUGCCACCAUCCGGUGGCCGCAGAGAAUAGGCCCAAGCGACUGUUUACCAAAAACAUAGGUUUCUGCUAAGUCGCAAGACGAUGUAUAGGGGCUGACGCCUGCCCGGUGCUGGAAGGUUAAGGGGAUCUGUUAGAGCAAUCGAAGCAGUGAACUUAAGCCCCAGUAAACGGCGGCCGUAACUAUAACGGUCCUAAGGUGACGAAAUUCCUUGUCGGGUAAGUUCCGACCCG
rnacentral:rRNA from 1 species